CGGGUGGAGCCGUAAUGUCGCUCGUCCCGGGGCAUUCAGCUCGUUUUCCCGCAGCCGGGCCUACCUGGAUUGGCGUUGCGCACCCGCACUGUCGGGAGCGCUGCCGCCGGGGUUAUGGACAAGCCGGUGGUGGGACGGGUGCACUUGCUCCGGUAUGUCGAGAGCCACGACCGGUCUCUUCGCAGGCUGUGUGGACUCCGUUUGGUCGGGUUAACGGCGGUUCUAACCUGCUCACCACUCGUGGAGGGCUAAUUUGGACUGCUCCGACCGGGAGGGAUACUGGCCUGGAGAUCGAGGAACGCAGCCUUUUCCGGGAGUCUCCGUGUAAUUCUCGAGCCGUGUGCCCUUGCCGCUCCUCGUGGGCAGGCAAUACGGGCGCGAGGACGCAUCGGGAUGGUAUGCGGAUGGCGACCGGAGAUACCAGUGUUGCUUGUCGGUGGCAGAUAAGGUCGGUACUCCACCCGACCCG
rnacentral:rRNA from 1 species